GAUGAACGCUGGCGGCGUGCCUAAUACAUGCAAGUCGAGCGAACGGACGAGAAGCUUGCUUCUCUGAUGUUAGCGGCGGACGGGUGAGUAACACGUGGAUAACCUACCUAUAAGACUGGGAUAACUUCGGGAAACCGGAGCUAAUACCGGAUAAUAUUUUGAACCGCAUGGUUCAAAAGUGAAAGACGGUCUUGCUGUCACUUAUAGAUGGAUCCGCGCUGCAUUAGCUAGUUGGUAAGGUAACGGCUUACCAAGGCAACGAUGCAUAGCCGACCUGAGAGGGUGAUCGGCCACACUGGAACUGGGACACGGUCCAGACUCCUACGGGAGGCAGCAGUAGGGAAUCUUGCGCAAUGGGCGAAAGCCUGACGGAGCAACGCCGCGUGAGUGAUGAAGGUCUUCGGAUCGUAAAACUCUGUUAUUAGGGAAGAACAUAUGUGUAAGUAACUGUGCACAUCUUGACGGUACCUAAUCAGAAAGCCACGGCUAACUACGUG
rnacentral:rRNA from 1 species